UUGAUGCGCUAGGGUUGUCGCUGACCUUUGAAAAAGGUCGUGCACACCUUAGUGUACUCAUAAAUCCAUCUCACCCAUUGUGCAUUACCGCGUGAGCCCUUAUUUUUGGUUUGUUCCAAGGGGGUUCACGUUUUUACAUAUACACACCCCUAUAGAAUGUCUGUAUAGAAUGUCUACUUUUUGCAAUCAUAUGCAAUUAAUACAACUUUCAACAACGGAUCUCUUGGCUCUCGCAUCGAUGAAGAACGCAGCGAAAUGCGAUACGUAAUGUGAAUUGCAGAAUUCAGUGAAUCAUCGAAUCUUUGAACGCAUCUUGCGCCCCUUGGCAUUCCGAGGAGCACACCCGUUUGAGUGUCGUGACAUUCUCAAAACCUUCUUGGUUUUAUUAACUGCGAAGGCUUUGGAUUUUGGGGGUCUUAUUGCUGGCAUCCUUUGGAGCCGGCUCCUCCUAAAUAGAUUAGUAGGGUCUGCUUUGUCAAUCCUUGAUGUGAUAAGAUAUUUUCUACAUCUCGUAGUUUGGCACAGUCACUUUGGGUCCUGCUUCUAACUGUCUUGUAGAAGACAUUGUUAUAAACCCUUGACCUCAAAUCGUGUGAGACUACCCGCUGAACUUAAGCAUAUCAAUAAGCGGAGGAAAAGAAACUAACAAGGAUUCCCCUAGUAACUGCGAGUGAAGCGGGAAAAGCUCAAAUUUAAAAUCUGAUGGCCUUUGGUUAUCCGAGUUGUAAUUUAGAGAAGCGUUUUCUGCGCUGGACCAUGCAUAAGUCUCCUGGAAUGGAGCGUCAUAGAGGGUGAGAAUCCCGUCUUUGGCAUGGAUCCUAGGGCUUCUGUGAUGCGCUCUCAAAGAGUCGAGUUGUUUGGGAAUGCAGCUCAAAAUGGGUGGUGAACUCCAUCUAAAGCUAAAUAUUGGCGAGAGACCGAUAGCGAACAAGUACCGUGAGGGAAAGAUGAAAAGCACUUUGGAAAGAGAGUGAAACAGUACGUGAAAUUGUUGAAAGGGAAACGCUUGAAGUCAGUCGCGUUGACCGAGACUCAGCCUUGCCUCGGCUUGGUGUACUUCUCGGCUGACGGGUCAGCAUCAAUUUUGAUCCUUGGAUAAUGGCAAGGGAAAGGUGGCACCUUUAGGUGUGUUAUAGUCCUUUGUCGGAUACAAGGGUUGGGAUUGAGGAACUCAGCAUGCACCUCACGGUGUCGGGGCCU
rnacentral:rRNA from 1 species